GCAGACGUCCAACCAAGUCCAAUCAGACUUCAGGAGCCUUUUCUGCCAUCUUGCGUGAGUUAUCUGUGAAAGAGACUAACAUUAAAUCAUUAGCAGGCCUAUGUAUCGAGAAUUGGAAAUUCCCAACUAUUUGAUGAUGUCAGUACACACAAGCCUUGAAGCAAGAGAGCGCUGCGAUGCAUCAUGACAUUGCGACAUUGCCUUAUGAUAUCAAGAGGGGGCUAACUUAUUUCCCUCGACUGUUUUCAAAGCGUUUUAAAGAAAAUUUGAGGAAUAUCUUAAUCCCGUGUCGUCAUUAGCAAGGAAAGUCUGUCUUCCACGCCAAUCUUGGGUCGGGAGUUCUACUACUCUGCACAAAUUGAAGUUUAAAUCGGCAGGCAUAUUGUGACGCUGCGGUUGUUCAACACAAGACCACGUCCAUUUCACUGGAGAAGCUAUGAUGACAGACGUCUUGAAUAUGUUUUUUAUCGGGACAGCGUUCACUGUCCUCGCCGCGCUGAUGGGAAUGGUGGAUUCAUUUGGUGGUCUCAUGUAUGUCCAAGACGCGGAUCCUGCAGAUUAUUUACAGUUGGACAGCAGUACUGACAUACGGAUGUCUUCAACCCAUUCGAGAGGUUCAGGGAGUACCAAACGCAUUGGAUCAUGAUGAGGACGUCAUGUGGAGUGGAAUUAACACGAACAGGCUUGGCUUAUGUUAUGUUUUCGUUUGUAAAUGACUGCUUGCACUGUACAAUGUGUACACUGAAUUUUACAAAACAUUAUUGAGCCUUUCAUCAUGGUUCGCUUUCAGUUUCACUAGUUGGUGUCCCACUCCCAUUGGGCAGAAACUGGCUGAAUCAGCGCUGGUUCCACGUCAUUUCAACCCCCGAAAAAUCUAUGUGAUGACGUUGAAUGAUCGUGGAUUGGAUUUGUAAAAAGUCAUUAACGUAUGUGCGGGCACUCUGUCUCUUUUUUAACCUGAAUCCAAUGAUAUGUGGAUAUUUUUUUGUUGAAUUGUGCAAUUCAGAACUAGACGUGGAACUGACGUCUGUGCGCAGUGGGGUUUGAUUUAUACAGGUCACUACGGAUUUGAUGAGGUGUUUAAUUUGUUUUGCACAUUUGUAUACAUGGCAUUGCCUAUAUGAUGUAGGCUAUUUGUUGUAUAUUGAAGAUCACAUCAUGUGUAAAAGAAAAAGAGCUACAUUAUGCACUAAUUGACUCUUCAUCAUGCACUGUAAUAUGGUGUCAUAAACAAAGUUGUAAAGAAUAAACACUUUUAUAGGCUAUUGUCAAUAAAAUGAAUAGACACUA